GGUCCUUUAGCUUAGUUGGUAAAGCGCGGGUGUGAAGUACCUGAGUCUGCGGUUCGAUUCCGUGAUGGACCAC
rnacentral:tRNA from 5 species